CACUUCUCUGUUGUCUGACAGCGCCACAGUUUCCUUCACUCUUGUUACUCUCAUCUUCAUUCUUUCAGAUCUCAAUGCAUAGAACCGUGACUGCUGGGCUUCUGCUGACGUGCAAUAUUUGGCUCCUUGAGAAAGCUGAAGAGUGUGACAGGAAACAGGGUAAGAGAAGGGGAGUGACACGCAGCCAAGGGACCCGGGCCGGGAGUCGAACCCGGCUCCGCUGCAGAGCCUCAGCACAUGGGUCGGGCACGCUACCAACCGAGUGGUCCGGCUGCCUGCAUUCUUCUCCAGUAUCAGAUGGUUGCAGCAGAACAAGCUGAGUUUCCUCUUUCGACACCUCACCACAUCCGUCACACUCAAGACAAAGACGACCUCCCUGAAGUGCAGUCUCUGUGUGGU